rnacentral:rRNA from 1 species
UUCGCCCUUAGAGUUUGAUCCUGGCUCAGGAUGAACUCUGGCGGCGUGCAUAACACAUUCAAGUCGAACGGAGUUACUACGAAUGAGACCUUCGGGUGGAUUUUGUUUUAACUUAGUGGCGGACGGGUGAGUAACGCGUGAGCAACCUGCCUUUGUGAGGGGAAUAACGUUUGGAAACGAACGCUAAUACCGCAUAAUGUAUAGGAACCGCAUGAUUCUUAUACCAAAGAUUUAUCGCACAAAGAUGGGCUCGCGUCUGAUUAGAUAGUUGGUGAGGUAACGGCCCACCAAGUCUGCGAUCAGUAGCCGGACUGAGAGGUUGAACGGCCACAUUGGAACUGAGAUACGGUCCAGACUCCUACGGGAGGCAGCAGUGGGGAAUAUUGGGCAAUGGACGCAAGUCUGACCCAGCGACGCCGCGUGAAGGAAGAAGGCCUUCGGGUUGUAAACUUUAGUUAUCAGGGAAGAAUUUUGACGGUACCUGAAGAGAAAGCCACGGCUAACUACGUGCCAGCAGCCGCGGUAAUACGUAGGUGGCGAGCGUUAUCCGGAUUUACUGGGCGUAAAGGGUGUGUAGGCGGGACUGCAAGUCAGAUGUGAAAAUUAUGGGCUCAACUCAUAACCUGCAUUUGAAACUGUAGUUCUUGAGAGCCGGAGGGGUAAAUGGAAUUCCCAGUGUAGCGGUGAAAUGCGUAGAUAUUGGGAGGAACACCAGUGGCGAAGGCGAUUUACUGGACGGCAACUGACGCUGAGACACGAAAGUGUGGGGAGCAAACAGGAUUAGAUACCCUGGUAGUCCACACCGUAAACGAUGAAUGCUAGGUGUAGGGGAGCAAUCCUCUGUGCCGCAGCUAACGCAAUAAGCAUUCCGCCUGGGGAGUACGGCCGCAAGGUUGAAACUCAAAGGAAUUGACGGGAGCCCGCACAAGCAGUGGAGUAUGUGGUUUAAUUCGACGCAACGCGAAGAACCUUACCAGGACUUGACAUCCCGAGAACCCGACGUAAUGGUUGGGGUGCCCUUCGGGGAAUUCGGUGACAGGUGGUGCAUGGUUAUCGUCAGCUCGUGUCGUGAGAUGUUGGGUUAAGUCCCGCAACGAGCGCAACCCUUGCCUUUAGUUACUAACAUUAAGUUGAGGACUCUAAAGGGACUGCCGAGGUUAACUCGGAGGAAGGUGGGGAUGACGUCAAAUCAUCAUGCCCCUUAUGUUCUGGGCUACACACGUGCUACAAUGGUCGGUACAAUGAGAAGCAAAACAGCGAUGUGGAGCAAAUCACCAAAACCGAUCCCAGUUCGGACUGUAGGCUGCAACUCGCCUACACGAAGUCGGAGUUGCUAGUAAUCGCGGAUCAGCAUGCCGCGGUGAAUGCGUUCCCGGGUCUUGCACACACCGCCGGUCA